UACGUAGGGUGCAAGCGUUGUCCGGAAUUAUUGGGCGUAAAGAGCUCGUAGGCGGUCUGUUGCGUCGGCUGUGAAAACCCGGGGCUCAACUCCGGGCCUGCAGCCGAUACGGGCAGACUAGAGUUCGGUAGGGGAGACUGGAAUUCCUGGUGUAGCGGUGAAAUGCGCAGAUAUCGGGAGGAACACCGGUGGCGAAGGCGGUUCUCUGGGCCUGUACUGACGCUGAGGAGCGAAAGCGUGGGGAGCGAACAGG
rnacentral:rRNA from 1 species